rnacentral:rRNA from 1 species
GUGUCAGCCGCCGCGGUAAUACAGAGGGUGCAAGCGUUAAUCGGAUUUACUGGGCGUAAAGCGCGCGUAGGUGGCCAAUUAAGUCAAAUGUGAAAUCCCCGAGCUUAACUUGGGAAUUGCAUUCGAUACUGGUUGGCUAGAGUAUGGGAGAGGAUGGUAGAAUUCCAGGUGUAGCGGUGAAAUGCGUAGAGAUCUGGAGGAAUACCGAUGGCGAAGGCAGCCAUCUGGCCUAAUACUGACACUGAGGUCCGAAAGCGUGGGUAGCAAACAGGAUUAGAUACCCCGGUAGUCC